rnacentral:rRNA from 1 species
UACGUAGGGUGCAAGCGUUGUCCGGAAUUAUUGGGCGUAAAGAGCUCGUAGGCGGUCUGUCGCGUCGGCUGUGAAAUCCCGAGGCUCAACCUCGGGUCUGCAGUCGAUACGGGCAAACUAGAGUGUUGCAGGGGAGACUGGAAUUCCUGGUGUAGCGGUGAAAUGCGCAGAUAUCAGGAGGAACACCGGUGGCGAAGGCGGGUCUCUGGACAACAACUGACGCUGAGGAGCGAAAGCGUGGGGAGCGAACAGG